GACAAAGACAUGCUGGGCUGCAUCACCCUCCUUGUCACUGCCUUGCUCCCUGCGGCCCAAACGGCGCUCACCAUGGACCAGCCAAUGGUCUCCAUCACCAAACAGGCUGGGAAAUCCGCAAGGAUCCACUGCGAAUUUCCUCAGAAAAGCAUCACCUACAUCCACUGGUAUCGUCAGCAGCCUGGGAAGGCUCCCCAGCGCCUGCUCUACUAUAACCUCGACACAUCGAAACAGACGUUGGAUUCAGGAUUCAGUUCAGACAAAUUCUCUGCUUACCAAAAAAAAUAUCAAAACUGCAUCCUGGAGAUUGAGAAACUGGGCACGAGUGAUGCUGGCACCUAUUACUGUGCCAGCUGGGAUUCCACAGAACGCCAAGAUUCGUGGUCACACUUAGUGCCCCCUGCUCACACGUCCCAUGGUCUAGGCACCAAUACGUUCAUACCUGACUCUAAAGAAAUAGAGCCCAGCCUGAAGGACACAAGUUUGCAAGGGGUCAACCAAACCCGUUCUGGUCUUUUGUCCACACUCAAGUAUCAACAGGACACAUAG